rnacentral:sRNA from 1 species
UGCCUGCAAGUCUAUGUAUAGCAGAGAUAGGAAGUUGUGACUGAGAUGCCCCAGAUGAAAAAACUCGGGAUCCAUCAUUGGCCCAAAGAUUAAAGAAGACUGUGUGCUCUCACGAAAGAGCAAUGGAUUGAGAGGAGUCCAGAAUUUUCACUUCUGAUAAACAUGGACUGGACAUGCCAUGGAGGGGGCAUGGAAAUGGUUUUCUGCAAAGAAAAUCAAUGUGGGGGUUCUGACCAAUGGAACAUGACCAAAUACCAAUCAUGGAAUAGAGCACAGAACUAUGUCUGUAAAACCUGACAACCCAGGAGAAAAAGUAAUAUGGGAAUUAUGGCCAACCCGCAGUCUGUGGGCAGAACAGGAAACUCGGAAUUAAACAAGCCAGAUGCUGGCCGUGCUUGA